AUUCCAGCUCCAAUAGCGUAUAUUAAAGUUGUUGCAGUUAAAAAGCUCGUAGUUGGAUUUCUGUCUCUUUUGGGAUGCGGUCCGCCCUUCAUGGGUGAGCACUGUUAUCCUGGGGACAUCCUCUCAAAGGCGUUAUGGUGCACUUAGUUGUGUGCUUAAUGAAUUUGGGAUCUUUACUUUGAAAAAAUUAGAGUGUUCAAAGCAGGCUUAUUGCUUGAAUAUAUUAGCAUGGAAUAAUGGAAUAGGACUUUGGUUCUAUUUUGUUGGUUUCUAGGACUGAAGUAAUGAUUAAUAGGGACAGUUGGGGGCAUUAGUAUUUAAUUGUCAGAGGUGAAAUUCUUGGAUUUAUGAAAGACUAACUACUGCGAAAGCAUUUGCCAAGGAUGUUUUCAUCA
rnacentral:rRNA from 1 species